rnacentral:lncRNA from 1 species
CUUCUCGUCUGUCGCCAUGUGAGAUGUACCUUUCACUUUCCUCCAUGAUUGUGAGGCCUCCUUAGCCACAUGGAACUGAAAUGCUGGAGUCCUUCAUCCGAAUGUGACCCCCACCUUUACAAGUGUCUGUAAUUCUCACUAGCAGUAUAUUAGAGGGCAAAAGAUUUGAACAGACACAUCAGAAAAGAAGACAUACAAAUGGCCGCUAAGCACUUGAAAGGAUUCUGAACACCAUUAGUCAUCAGUGAAAUGCAAAUUAAAGCCAUAAUGAAUGGCGCUAUACAUUUUCAGAAUGGCAAGGAUUGAAGACCGAAAAAAAUCAAGCGUUGAGGAGAGUGACAAAUGGGGAGACAGCCGUGGUGCAUGAUCGCCGAAUAAAUACCAUGUGAGGAUACAGCAAGAAGGUGGCCAUCUACAAGCCAAGGAGACAGGCCUCAGAAGAAACCAACCCUUCUUACACCCUGGACUCAGACUUCUAAUCUCCAGAACUUGUUAAUGCACAAGGUCUUGUGUUGAAAAUGUAGAGCCACGAGAUAAAAGCAGCUUGGAUGGCUGACUCAUAUACAAGGACAACUGCCUGAGAGUCACCAGGGCUAUCAAGAAGUUUGCAGAAACAAGAAAUAAACUUUUACUGUUUUAAA